UAGGGAAUCUUCCGCAAUGGGCGAAAGCCUGACGGAGCAACGCCGCGUGAGUGAUGAAGGUUUUCGGAUCGUAAAACUCUGUUAUUAGGGAAGAACAAAUGUGUAAGUAACUAUGCACGUCUUGACUGUACCUAAUUAGAAAGCCACGGCUAACUACGUGCCAGCAGCCGCGGUAAUACGUAGGUGGCAAGCGUUUUCCGGAAUUAUUUGGCGUAAAGCGCGCGUAGGCGGUUUUUUAAGUCUGAUGUGAAAGCCCACGGCUCAACCGUGGAGGGUCAUUGGAAACUGGAAAACUUGGGUGCAGAAGAGGAAAGUGGAAUUCCAUGUGUAGCGGUGAAAUGCGCAGAGAUAUGGAGGAGCACAAGAGGCGAAGGCGACUUUCUGGUCUGUGACUGACGCUGAUGUGCGAAAGCGUGGGGAUCGAACAGG
rnacentral:rRNA from 1 species